UACGUAGGGAGCAAGUGUUAUCCGGAUUUACUGGGUGUAAAGGGAGCGUAGGCGGCAUACCAAGCCUGAUGUGAAAACCCGGGGCCCAACCCCGGGAGUGCAUUGGGAACUGGCAAGCUAGAGUGUCGGAGAGGCAGGCGGAAUUCCUAGUGUAGCGGUGAAAUGCGUAGAUAUUAGGAGGAACACCAGUGGCGAAGGCGGCCUGCUGGACGAUGACUGACGCUGAGGCUCGAAAGCGUGGGGAGCAAACAGG
rnacentral:rRNA from 1 species